rnacentral:rRNA from 1 species
ACGGCUCAGUAACACGUGGACAACCUGCCCUUAGGUUGGGUAUAAACCCGGGAAACUGGGUAUAAUCCCCUAUAAGUCUCGGCAGCUGGAAUGCACCGAGAUUAAAAGCUCCGGCGCCUAAGGAUGGGUCUGCGGCCUAUCAGGUAGUAGUGGGUGUAGCGUACCUACUAGCCUACGACGGGUACGGGUUGUGAGAGCAAGAGCCCGGAGAUGGAUUCUGAGACACGAAUCCAGGCCCUACGGGGUGCAGCAGGCGCGAAAACUUUACAAUGCUGGCAACAGCGAUAAGGGAACCUCGAGUGCCAGGUUACAAAUCUGGCUGUCGAGAUGCCUAAAAAGCAUUUCAUAGCAAGGGCCGGGCAAGACCGGUGCCAGCCGCCGCGGUAACACCGGCGGCUCGAGUGGUAACCGUUAUUAUUGGGUCUAAAGGGUCUGUAGCCGGCCGGAUAAGUCUCUUGAGAAAUCUGGCAGCUUAACUGCCAGGCUUUCAGGAGAUACUGUCUGGCUCGAGGCCGGGAGAGGUGAGAGGUACUUCAAGGGUAGGGGUGAAAUCUUGUAAUCCUUGAAGGACCACCAGUGGCGAAGGCGUCUUACCAGAACGGACCUGACGGCAAGGGACGAAAGCUAGGGGCACGAACCGGAUUAGAUACCCGGGUAGUCCUAGCCGUAAACGAUACUCGCUAGGUGUCGGCCACGGUGCGACCGUUGUCGGUGCCGUAGGGAAGCCGUGAAGCGAGCCACCUGGGAAGUACGGCCGCAAGGCUGAAACUUAAAGGAAUUGGCGGGGGAGCAC